rnacentral:rRNA from 1 species
UACGUAGGGGGCAAGCGUUGUCCGGAUUUAUUGGGCGUAAAGAGCGUGUAGGCGGCUUUACAGGUCCGUUGUGAAAACUCGAGGCUCAACCUCGAGACGCCGGUGGAAACCGUAAGGCUAGAGUCCGGAAGAGGAGAGUGGAAUUCCUGGUGUAGCGGUGAAAUGCGUAGAUAUCAGGAGGAACACCUGUGGCGAAAGCGGCUCACUGGACCAUAACUGACGCUGAUGCACGAAAGCUAGGGGAGCAAACAGG